rnacentral:rRNA from 2 species
AAAGGCAGUUAGAUUAAUUUAUUAAAUUAGUUUAUUUAUAGCUGAAUAAUAGAUAGGUAAAAUUAAACUAUCAGCUUAAAAAAUUUAUAUUAACUAAAUUAUUGAAUCUGCGAAAUCCUUGAGGGAAACUGGGAUUAGAUACCCCAUUAUUCUUGGAAGUAAAAAGAAAAUCUACCAGAGUACUAUGAAUAAAAAUUUAAAACUCAAAGAGCUUGGCGGUGCUUUAGACUUUUCAGGGGAACCUGUCUUAUAAUCGACAAUCCACGCUACACCUAACCUUUUCUUGCAUACAGUUUGUAUACCGUCGUCGUCAGGUAACUUCUAAAAAUUUCAACAGUUAGCAAAAAAGUUUACAUUAAUAAGCUUAAACGUCAGAUCAAGGUGCAAUUAAUGAAAGGGACAAGAUGGGUUACAAUUAUAAAAUAAUAAUACGAAAAAUUAGUUGAAAUACUAUUUUAAAGGAGGACUUGAAAGUAAG